rnacentral:lncRNA from 10 species
GUACCACUGCACUCCAGCCUGAGCAACACAAUGAGACCCUGUCUCAAAGUAAUAAUGAUAAUAACAAUUGUUAUAUAGUAUAAUGAAAAAGCUUUCGGAUGAUUAAACUCCCAGAUGUCUGACUAAGUGGCCUCUAGAAGAAUAAUUUACCAUCAAUAACUAAACAAAUCUCUGCUUAUCGCCGUGAAGCAGGUUACACAUUCCCAAAAGAGAAACACGCCAAUGCAAAUCAACACCUGCAAUUCAGAAUGUUUGUUCUUGUGCCUUUGGAUUUGAGGCUCACGUUUGAAACUUGUUUAUUGUCUCUGACUAUGCAUCUUAAUGUGUGUAGCAUGUUUCUCUGGAUUAGCAGUUACCUGGACUAUACCAUGUUCCAAUCUUAGACAUUCUGGCAUCUUCUGCACAUCUCUCUGAGGAACCCCUCUAAGGGAAAUACACAGAUGUUGGAUAUCCUGUAGCCUGUAUUUUAAGUCAGGCUACAUCAAAAUACUUAAUGUAUUUUUUAAUACCAGCUGUUUUCACAACAUACAAUGCCAGGUAGGUAGAAACUUAAUUUUACUUCUAGAGAUUUGAAUUAUUUUUAGUCCACAAUCUAUUAAAAUAAUACUACAUUAGAGUCUAACUGCAGUGGUGUUAGAAGCAUCUGUGGGGAAUACCAAACUAUUUGUACUGAUAAACUAUCUGAUAUUAAUAAAAGAAUGAUUUGAAUGAUAGCUUUUCCUUUUUUUUUUUUUGAGACAGAGUCUCACUCUGUCACCCAUGCUAACAUACGGUGCACAAUCUUGGCUCACUGCAACCUCCACCUCCCAGAGUUGAGCGAUUCUCCUGUCUGAGCCUCCCAAACAGCUGGGAGUACAGGUGCGCACCACCACACCUGGCUAAUUUUUGUGUGUUUAGUAGAGGUGGGGUUUCACCAUAUUGGCCAGGCUGGUCUCGAACUCCUGACCUCAAGUGAUCCGCCUGCCUCAGCCUCUCAAAGUGCUGGGAUUACAGGCAUAAGCUUUUAUUUUUUAUUGUAGAGAUGGGGUCUCCCUGUGUUGCGCAGGCUGGUCUUGAACGCCUGGGCUGAAGUGAUCCUCCCACUUCCACCUCCCAAAGUGCUGGGAUUAUAGACAAUUGUGGCAAUUAAUAAAGACCCAGAAGCUCCAAUUUUCCAAGUGGCAGAUUAUGGAAUAGUUGCAGAUUUAUUUAAGGUAGUUCCUGAAAUGACUGAGAUAUUGAAGAAAAAAUGAAUCAGGAUCAUGCCUUAAAAAGAAAACUUUUGUUAAAGUAUUCCACUGAAAUCACAGAUAUUUGUGGGUAUUAUAACAAUCAUUGGAAAGCAUGGAGAGCUACAUUUCAUAAUUUGAGGGAAAA